rnacentral:rRNA from 1 species
GACGAACGCUGGCGGCGUGCUUAACACAUGCAAGUCGAACGGAAAGGCCCUGCUUUUGUGGGGUGCUCGAGUGGCGAACGGGUGAGUAACACGUGAGUAACCUGCCCUUGACUUUGGGAUAACUUCAGGAAACUGGGGCUAAUACCGGAUAGGAGCUCCUGCUGCAUGGUGGGGGUUGGAAAGUUUCGGCGGUUGGGGAUGGACUCGCGGCUUAUCAGCUUGUUGGUGGGGUAGUGGCUUACCAAGGCUUUGACGGGUAGCCGGCCUGAGAGGGUGACCGGCCAAUUGGGGAUGGGGGACGGGCCCGACCCCCUAGGGGGGGAGGAGGGGGGGAAAUUGGCAAAUGGGGGGGAGGCCUAAUGAGGAAACCCCGGGGGGGGGAGGAGGGCUUUGGGGUGGAAACCGGUUUUGGCCUGGAACAAGGGGGGGGGACGGGAAAGGGUAAAGAAAGCCCGGCUAAACUCGGG